rnacentral:rRNA from 1 species
CAUGUCCUUUUGAUAAUAAUUCAAGGUCUGAUCUGCUCAAUGAAAUUUAAAUUGCCGCAGUAUUUUGACUGUGCAAAGGUAGCAUAAUAAUUAGUUUUUUAAUUAAGAACUGGUAUGAAUGAUUGGACAAGAAAAUUACUGUCUCUUUUUUAAUUUUUAUUGAACUUUAUUUUUAAGUGAAAAAGCUUAAAUUUUUGUAAAAGACGAGAAGACCCUAUAGAGUUUAAUAUUCUUAGCUAUUUAGAUAUAGAAUUUUUUUUUGUUAAGGUUUAUUUGGUUGGGGUGAUUUGAAGAUUGAAUUAAUUCUUUAACUAAAAAAUUAGUGAUUUCUAAAAUAAAAUUCUAUAAUUUGUAAAUUUAAAAUAAAUUACCUUAGGGAUAACAGCGUAAUUUUUCUUUAAAGUUCUUAUUAAAAGAAAAGUUUGCGACCUCGAUGUUGGAUUAAAAUUAAUUUUUGGUGCAAUAACUUAAAAAUUAGGUCUGUUCGACCUUUAAAAUUUUACAUGAUCUGAGUUUAAACCGGUGUAAACCAGGUUGGAUUCUAUCUUUAGAUAAUUAUUAUAUUUUAGUACGAAAGGACCAAAUAUUUAUUAAAUUAAUUG